GACAUCAUUCAUCCCAGAAAUGAGCCACUGCCAGCACCUCAGAUACUCCCCAAAAACAUCUCCAAGACUCCAGAAGGCUGCAAUGCGACCCUGCAGUGCGUUGUAUCCACAGAGGAAAAGUUUGUUAUCUCCUGGAAAAAAGGGAAUCCCCCAAGGACCUUAGCUGGAGGUUUAGGUGAAUACCAGCUUUCCCACAACGGCAGGGAUCUCCAUGUCUCCUGGCGAAAAGGUUCCAAUGACUCCACGUUCACCUGCAUGGUCAGCAGUUCUGAAGAUCGAAAGGAAACCUCAGUUGACAUGCUCAAAAUCUGCACAAGUGAUAGAGGUGGCCUUGGACAAAUAAUACGUUGGGAGUUCAUGUUAAUUCUUCUUCUCCCCGUCGUUGCCUGUUUAUUGGUGGUCACAAUAAUCAUAGUGAA